rnacentral:rRNA from 1 species
GACGAACGCUGGCGGCGUGCUUAACACAUGCAAGUCGAGCGGUAAGGCUCCUUCUGGAGUACACGAGCGGCGAACGGGUGAGUAACACGUGAGUAAUCUGCCCUUCACUUCGGGAUAACCACCGGAAACGGUGGCUAAUACCGAAUACGACCAGUCUUCGCAUGAGGUGCUGGUGGAAAGUCUUUCGGUGAAGGAUGUGCUCGCGGCCUAUCAGCUUGUUGGUGGGGUAAUGGCCUACCAAGGCUUCGACGGGUAGCCGGCCUGAGAGGGUGACCGGCCAAACUGGGACUGAGACACGGCCGAGACUCCUACGGGAGGCAGCAGUGGGGAAUGUUGGACAAGGGGCGAAAGCCUGAUCCGGCAACGCCGCGUGAGGGAUGACGGCCUUCGGGUUGUAAGCCUCGUUCAGUACCGACGAAGCGCCCUGUCGGGUGGUGACGGUAGGUACAGAAGAAGGACCGGCCAACUACGUG